AGAGUUUGAUCCUGGCUCAGGAUGAACGCUAGCGGCAGGCUUAAUACAUGCAAGUCGAGGGGCAGCGCGGUGUAGCAAUACACUGGCGGCGACCGGCAAACGGGUGCGGAACACGUACGCAAUCUACCCAAAACUGAUGAAUAGCCCUCCGAAAGGAGGAUUAAUACAUCGUAACUUAAUGAAGUGGCAUCACUUUAUUAAUAUAGCUCCGGCGGUUUUGGAUGAGCGUGCGCCUGAUUAGGUAGUUGGCGGGGUAACGGCCCACCAAGCCUACGAUCAGUAACUGGUGUGAGGGCACGACCAGUCACACGGGCACUGAGACACGGGCCCGACUCCUACGGGAGGCAGCAGUAAGGAAUAUUGGUCAAUGGACGCAAGUCCGAACCAGCCAUGCCGCGUGAAGGAUGAAGGUCCUCUGGAUUGUAAACUUCUCUUAUGUGGGACGAAACCUCUUAUUCUUAAGAGACUGACGGUACCAUAGGAAUAAGCACCGGCUAACUCCGUGCCAGCAGCCGCGGUAAUACGGGAGGGUGCAAGCGUUAUCCGGAUUCACUGGGUUUAAAAGGGAGCGUAGAAGGGCAGGUAAAUUCAGUGGGUGAAAUCUUCGAGCUUAACUCGGAAACUGCCGUUGAUACUAUCUGUCUUGAAUACGCUGGGGGAUGAGCGGAAUAUGGCAUGGUGACGGGGUGAAAUGGCUUAAAAUAUGAACAUAGAAACACCAAAUUGCGAAGGCAGCUCGUACACGAAUAUUGACUCUGAGCUCGAGACGGGGGGGGGAUUCAAACAGGAAUA
rnacentral:rRNA from 1 species